AUUAUCAUAUAAUGUUGCACUUCCUCCCCAGCAGGAUUGACCUUGAAGUUUUUUUUGGAAAGACUCAGCUCUUCCGAAGAUUCCCCCUUGAUCAUAAUCUUUUUUCUAAUUCGAUUAGCAUUUUUGCAACUUUAUAACUUU
ensembl:ncRNA F37H8.12 ncRNA